rnacentral:rRNA from 1 species
UACAGAGGUCUCGAGCGUUAGGCGGAAUCACUGGGCUUAAAGCGUGUGUAGGUGGAUGCCUAAGUACCUUGUGAAAUCCCACAGCUUAACUGUGGAACUGCUUGGUAUACUGGGUGUCUUGAGUCACUCAGGGGCGAGCGGAACAAAUGGUGGAGCGGUGAAAUGCGUAGAUAUCAUUUGGAACGCCAAUGGUGAAGACAGCUCGCUGGGGGUGUCCUGACGCUGAGGCGCGAAAGCCAGGGGAGCGAACGGG